UGCACAGCAUAUCGACCCGCGAACACGUGAAAAACACCGAGGGAUGCGGGCUUGCUCGCGGCCCUCCUCGCGUCGANGCGCGCCUUUGGAAUCGACUUGUUGGUCCCGGGCGUGCGCGUCAAUGCCAAACGAACCCCGGCGCGAUCCGCGCCAAGGAAAACAUAACUCCAGAGCGUCUCUUCCUCCCGUCGCCCCGUUCGCGGUGUGCGCGCNGUUGGGCGGUCGCUUCUUAGUGAAAACACAAAUGACUCUCGGCAAUGGAUAUCUCGGCUCUCGCAUUGAUGAAAAACGUAGCGAAUUGUGAUACUUGGUGUGAAUUGCANAAUCCCGUGAACCAUCGAGUCUUUGAACGCAAGUUGCGCCCAAAGCCAUUAGGCCGAGGGCACGUCUGCAUGGGCGUCACGCAUCGUGUCCCCCCCCCAAACAACACAGAGCAAACAAACUUUGGCUGGUNGGGGGAGCGGAUACUGGCCUCNCGUGCCUCACGGCGCGGCUGGCUCAAAACGGAGUCCCCCGCGGAGGACGCACGACAAGUGGUGGUUGAUAUCAAGGCCCUCGCGUCCCGUCGUGCGCACGUCCUGCGCUGGAGUAGGCUCUCGUGACCCUGACGCGUCUCGUUCGCGAAGUCGCUCCGACC
rnacentral:rRNA from 1 species